rnacentral:rRNA from 1 species
UACGAAGGGGGCUAGCGUUGUUCGGAAUUACUGGGCGUAAAGCGCGCGCAGGCGGUCUUCCAAGUCAGUGGUGAAAGCCUGGAGCUCAACUCCAGAACUGCCAUUGAAACUGUUAGACUUGAGUACGAGAGAGGUGAGUGGAAUUCCCAGUGUAGAGGUGAAAUUCGUAGAUAUUGGGAAGAACACCGGUGGCGAAGGCGGCUCUCUGGACCGAGACUGACGCUGAGGCGCGAAAGCGUGGGGAGCAAACAGG